GUCCUCGUAGCGAAGUGGUUACGCGCCCGGUCAACCCAGCGUUGCAUUUCUCUAGCGUAGACUGGGAGACGUCAGUUCAAACCUGACCGAGGGCA